UGUUGACACUUGUUUGAAUGCACAAGUCAACUGGCACAUAAUCCAUUUGUAGGCUCAUCCCCAAACACAAGGACCUAACUGGGAGUUAAAGUGAUAAAAGGAUAACAGCAAUCUAUCAAGAAGCAUUUUCUCUGGGUCAGGCACUGUACUAAAUGUUAUGGAUGAAAAAGCAAAAAGAGUUUCUACCUUCAAGGAGUUUGCUUACAGUCUAAUGCAAAGACACCAAGAAUCAAAAGGAAAUGGGACAGCUAGGACCAUACAAAAGUCUUGGAAUUGGAAGCAGAAGAGCUAAAUUCAAAGAUAAGUCCUUCUACAAUCUAAAUACUAUAAUUUUUUGAAGAAUAUAAUAAAAAAGUCUUGGAAUCAUAAAGUACAAGAGUCAUAGAAUAGAUCUUUCUCAUAUAAGUACACUUUAAAUGUCAGAGAAUUACAAAAUCACUAGUUCACACUAAUCCCUGGGUUAUUUAAGAAAUCCCAUGUUAUUUGGAAGGACAAAGGCAGCUUCAGGUCUCUACUAAGUCACUGACCUUAAGGACUCAGCAAAGAGCUCUACACAACUUGGUCAAACUUGAUCAAGGCUCCAAAGGAUGGAGAAAAGAAAUUCCAUCCAACCAACAAUUGAUCCCUGAACCUCUCUUAUUACCUUUUUUUGGGGGGGUAAGAUUUUAGUUUAAUUUCGAAAAUUUUAUUUAAUUAAUUUAGAAUAUGUUUCUAUGGUUACAAGAUUCAUGUUCUUUCUCUCCCCUCCCAUCCCCUCCUAUAGCUGAUGUGCAAUUCCACUGGGUUUUACAUGUGUCAUUGAUCAAGACCUAUUUACAUAUUAUUGAUAUUUGCACUAGGGUGAUCACUUAGGGUCUAAAUCCCUGAUCAUAUCUCCAUCAAACCAUGUGAUCAAGCCAUUGUUUUUCUUCUGUGUUUAUAUUCCCACAGUUCUUUCUGUGAAAGUGGAUAGUGUUCUUUCUCAAAAGUCCCUCCUGUCUUAUUACCUCUUAAAGCAUGAAUUCAUUUUCCUUUUGAUGAUAGAUACUUUUGAGGAAUUGUAUUCCAGACUUUUUGGCAGGAUAUUUUUGUACCAACUAGCCUUACUAUAGCAAACUAAAAAAUGUCCCUUUCUAAAAUUUACCUAUAUUUAAGUCUGCCUAUCUGGUAAUUGGACAGUUAGUUGGCUCAGUGGCUAGACUGUCUGGCCUGAAGUCAGGAAAACACAUCUUCCUGAGUUCAAAUUUGGCCUCAGACACUAACUGUGUGACCAUGAGCAAGAUACUUGACCCUGUUUGUCUCCAUUUCUCAUCUGUUAAAUGAAUUAGAGAAAGAGAUAGCAAACCACUCCAGUAUUUCUGCCAAAAGAACCCCAAAGGGUGCCCUAAGGAGUCAGAACAACAAUAGCUGGUAAUUAUAGGGGAAUAUACCAAAUAAGAACUCAUAAUCAACAGUAUUAUACACCUCCCCAUAUCUCAGAAUCUUGAAAUAGGAACCAGCCACUGUUCUCUGGGGACCCCACCUUUUCGGUGCUAAUGGGAGUUAGAGAAGAAGUCUGGAGGGAUGUUACAAUGGGAGUGAAGAUAGAGAUCUCAGAGGCCACCCAGUCUAAUCUCCUCUUUGUAACAGAUGGGGAAAAAAAUAGAUGAGGCCCACAGUGGUUAAAGUCACUUGCUUGGUUUUGUUGGAAAAUAAAGUAUACAAAGAAGAGAAAUGUGAAACAAAUCUGACAAUUCCCAUAACCCAAUGCAUGUUCCAUAGGCAUAGUCUUUGAUGAACUGGGACCACUGUUUUGCAAUCAAUAGACCUGAAAAAACUAAUGAGAUUUUGCAACCCAAGCCACCUCAGUCAUUUUUAGUCAUAUUUGGUGUUGCUGUGGCAGCUAAGUGGCUUAAUGGAUGGAAUACCAGACCUUGAUCCAAGUACAACACGGUUCAAAUCAAACUCCAGAAAUGUAUUAGCUGGGUGACAAUGGGGACUCUGGUCUGCUGGUUGUUCCAAGAACAAGACACUGCAUCUCAGCUCUGGAUAUUUUCUCUGGCUUUUCCCUAUGCCCAAAACACUCUCAAUUUCAUCUUUGUACAACAUUGUGUAUUUUAAUUUAAAAUCUAAGAAUUUUUAUUUUUUUGAGAUUGUAUUUUUAUAAAAAUCCAGAAAUUUUGAUUUUUGUUUGAGAAAAGAUCUUCAAGGAUAAAGCUUGUUAACUCCUGAAUCCAAAGAAUGAACUGUUGCAGAAAGAUGCUGGGAAACCCACACUAUAUCAAGAAGAUCAAAAGUGAACUUUGGAUAUGGUUGAACUGAAGUUUGAUUGAAUGUUUAUUGUAAAUGUACACAUUUAUGCCAAAAGGGACUGCCCCUAAUUUGGCUUUCUGUCAAUGCACCUAGCAAAACAUUGGUUUUGCUUACUUUCUUUUCUAUUCCUCCCUCACUACUCUAAUUUCCUCUUAGAAAAUUGAAUAUUGUAUAUAUCUACAGUUAGAAGUGCAUUUAGGACUACAAGAUGAUUAUGUUAAAUGAUCAAUGAGGAGACUAGUCUCCCAAUGAUCAUCAGGGGGGAUUGUGAAUCUUAAAAAUUCCCAGACCCUACUUCAUAAGAUUUGGUUAAGACCAUUCCCCAUUUUAAACAAUGAAGGAACUUAGAUCAGGAAUGUGAGACCUCUACUUAGAACAGGAAUGUGAGACCUCUACUUAGAUCAGAAAUGUGAGGUCUCUACUCCACCCCUACUUAAGCCUGCUUUAGGGAAAGAAACUCCUUACUGAACAAUGAAAAAUAAUUAAACCCAUACUUAUAGUAAGGCAAAAGUUCUUAAGCUGUGCCUAUUUUUAGAUCUAAUAAAAAAGGGUGCUAAGUAUUUAUAAAGGUCAGGAAACUUGUGAAUUUACAAGGAGCAAAGAGGUGAGAACUUACUCACAGAUUUUUUCAGGUGUGAAUUUAAUCAAAAGUUCAAGCCUUCUUAGGUGUGAAUUAAGAAUGGUCUGUCCUUUGGAAAACGUCUACUGUGAUUGGUAGAUGUGAGAACUUAGGGGAGGCCACAUAGGAGAAAAUUCCCUUUAAAAGGAGAGGAAAAACUGAGAGCAAAAGGGCUCUCUCGCUGGAGCUCCCUCUUAGGAGACCCUGUCCCUCUGGAGUCGCUCUCUCUCUCUCUCUCUCUCUCUCUCUCUCUCGGGAACUAUCUCAGAGAUCUUGUGGUGAGUUGAUUAAAGACUGACUGAUCCAUCUCUUAGGGUUUUCAGCUUAGGCUGGCUCAUGCUGGCCUAGGCUGGUAUAGCUCUUUUCUCAUUAUUUCCUUUUUUUUUCUCUCUCUCCCUUUCUUUAAUUCCUCAUUUGUAUGAAUUAAAAUCUCUAUAAAACCCAGCUGACUUGGGUAUAUUUAAUAAUUGGGAAUUUUUCCAUGGAGACCACCUUAUAUUUGAUUUAAAAAUAAGACAAUGUCUUGAAACCAUAUUUUCUGCGGUCACAAAUUUACUCAUCCACUCUUUUAUCUGCCACAGUUUAUGUCUUCCACUAUUUUAAUUAUUACACUUGGAUGGCUUUUUUUUAAACCCUUACCUUCCAUCUUGGAGUCAAUACUAUGUAUUGGCUCCAAGGCAGAAGAGUGGUAAGGGCUAGGCAAUGGGGGUCAAG